CCAUUCUCUCACACCAUUGAAGCAUUUUCCCAUCUUCAAACUGGUAGAGCUACCGGCAAGGUGGUCAUAUAUCCAAUUCCCUGAUCACUAAUCAUUGCCCUCUCGAAUCCCUGGACGCAUCAUAAACUUUUACUACUAAGGUGGCGUUUGGUGUUCGAAAUUUUAUGAUGUACAUACAUGUAUUGUAUCAUGAAUCAAAUGAUUUUCAUGAUUCUAAGAUGUACGUACAUGUAUUGUAUUAUGAACCAAAUAAUUCUAAGAUGUACAUACAUUGUGAUAAAUGUAUAUUCAUUCAUAAUUAUAUUCAUGUAUGUGGGGAUCGUUGAAUGUAAUGAUAGAUUCAUGUAUUUGACCAUAGAAUCAUGUGAUAUACAUGAAUUUGUACACAAUAUCUUGAAUCUAUUUAUACAAGUAUUUUUUAAAAUUCAUUUGUUUUUAAAACAAUAUCUCCUAUAUAAAGAGGUCAAGUAGAGAGUGAUUUGCUGCAGAAAAUUACUUUCCUACUAUUUUGAAUUCUCUCAAAAAGCACUCUUUAGUUCAAGAGGGUUUGUCUUAUUUUGUGCAAAAGUCUAAGACAAGCAAAUUUCAUCUUAUCUUAAAGGAUAUUUGUCCAAGGUUAUUGCACAUUAUACCAGACAAAUAAAGUUUAAAGAAAAGUGAAUAUUCUAUCACGAUUUGAAACAAAUUCUUGUCACAAUAUUUGCUAGUUUGUUAUAAUAUUCCCAACAUUUGGUUCUCACCUUGAAAUCGGAUUUGGAUUUGGGAUCAUUCAUCCUGGGUUUGGAAUGGAAUCUAUUAUUCCAAUAAAUCUGUCUGGUUCAGUACCAAGAAUGUAUAUCAUAACUUUAGUUGAUGUUUGGUUCGUUGGCUCUUUCGAAAUGGAAUAUAAGAAAUUUUCACUAAUUAAGUGUAUUAAUAUAAAUAUAUUAGUAAAUUUAGUAUAACUAAUUAAUAAUUUCUAUUGAUAAAUAUUUAUAUUAUUAGUAUAAUUCAAAAUAUCAAGUAGAUUACAUAUACUAAUACACAUUAUAUAAUACAUAUAAAUAAUAAUAUCAUUAUUAUAAGUUUGUAACUAAUUAAAUUAAAUAUUAUAUAUAAUUAAAUACAAUUAUAAAAAUGUUAUAAUAUAAAUAUAUAAUAUAUAAAAAUAUUAAUUUUACUAAUAUAUUAUAUAAUUAUGGGAUAAUUUCAGAAACCUCCCCUGAGGUUUCUGACAUUUACACUUACCUCCCCUGUGGUUUGAACAAUUACACUGACCUCCCCUGAGGUUACUAAUCCUUUACAAAUCUAGUCCAAAUGAUUAAAAUAUUAUUUUAGAGAGUGAAAUUAGAAUUUUGUACCUGAUUUGUCCUUUGUGCCACAUGUCCAAUGAAUGGCAAAGUAUUACAAAUUAAUUAACAAUUAAUAAACUUUAACGAGCGUAGUUUAUAGGCAAAUACGUAUUGUCUAUUUAAAGUACCAACUCUUUACAUGAAUUUUACUUUCAAACAUUUACUUUAUCACAAAUAUUUAUUCUCAAAUACAGAUUUGUAUUUACUCUCAAAUAUUUAAUUUUUGUUAAAUACAAAACCUACCAGUUUUUCUUCCGUAUAAAUAUUAAUAUAACGCUUUUUCAAUUUUAGUUAUAAAUAUUUAUGUAUUUAACAUAAAUUAAAUGAUUCAGGGUAAAAUAUCCAUAAAGAUCCAAUACUUUACUCAUGUAAUGGAUUAAAGUCAUAAAAAAUUAAUAGUUUAUGAGGUCAUUUAUUUUUUUAAAAAUAUUUAAUUUAUAUUAAAUAGAUAACCUACUGAUUUUUUUUGCAAGAAUUUUACUUUAACACUUUUUAAUUUUUAAUUACAAAUGUUAAUAUAUUUAUCAUAACUUAAAUAUUUGAAAAUAAAAUAUCUGUAAAGAGCCGAUACUUUAAAUAGGAUAUGCGUAUUUGCCUAUAAACUACACUAUUUAAAGUAAGGAGUAUAGUUUAUUGAUUUAAGUUAAGGAGUGUAGUUUAUUGAUUUAAGUAAGGAGUGUAGUUUAUAGGCAAAUACACAUAAUUUAUUUAAAGUACCGGCUCUUUAUAAGUAUUUUAUUUUUAAAUAUUUAAUUUAUAAUAAAUAUAUCAAUAUUUGUAAUUAAAAAUUAAAAGGUGUUACAAUAAUAUUCUUGUAAAAAGAAAAUCGAUAGGUUAUCUAUUUAAUAUAAAUUAAAAUUAAAAAAAAAAAGAAAUGGCCUAUAAAAUGUUAAUUUUUUAUGGCUUUUAUUCAUUUUUGGAGCAGAAACAACUAAUCCAUUUUUCUUAACUACUUUUAAAAAUAUACUUAAAUGUUUAAAAUGUUGUUCUAUUGAUUCUGAAAAUAUUAAUACAUCAUCUAUAUAGACUAUACUAAAUGAACUGUAAGGAUUGAAAAUAUCAUUCAUUACCCAGGUACUUAUAUGAAUGCAUGUGUUUAAUUAAACUUGCAAUAUUCAUAAAGUAUGAGGACUUACAAUGAAAAUUUGUUGAGUAUCACACGGAAGCUUGAGAUGAAUUCAACUUUGAAGACUUUAUUGCAGUAAUAAAGUCUUAUGCCAAGACUUUUGAGUACAAAACUUUGAAAGCUUAGAAGAGUAGGUGAGAGUUGGUGUAAUGGAUUUUUGAGAGGAUUACAAUGGACUUGACUAAAACUUCUGUUAAUUCU
rnacentral:lncRNA from 1 species